CAGCUCUCCGAGUGGUAGGGAUGAUUAUUGGGCUUAAAGCGUCCGUAGCCGGCUUAGCAAGUCUCCUGUUAAACUCAGCGACCUAAUCGUUGAAUCGCGGGAGAUACUACUAGGCUAGGAGGCGGGAGAGGUCGACGGUACUUCUGGGGUAGGGGUGAAAUCCUAUAAUCCCGGGAGGACCACCAGUGGCGAAGGCUGUCGACUAGAACGCGCUCGACGGUGAGGGACGAAAGCUGGGGGAGCGAACCGGAUUAGAUACCCGAGUAGUCC
rnacentral:rRNA from 1 species